rnacentral:misc_RNA from 1 species
CGACAGUCGGAACCGGCGCGGCGUGGCGAGGCGCGCCGUAACGCAGAAAGAGGAAGAUAGGUGCAAAGAAGUAGCUGGAGAAACUUAUCUUCGACCUCGUACGCCUCGAUCAACCGAAACAAGAGCUAUCGGCAACCUGUUUCCAAAUUACUUGCUCGCGAAUCGAACACGAGCGAGCCAAACUGGAACGCGAGCGUCCAGCUUGAGCGGACGUGGACGACGAGAUCGAUGCCUUUAGGCACUGUGAGAGCUUCGUGGUGCACCU